CCUGAUUAUUUUGUAAAAUUGCUUAACCUAAUGUCAAUUGGUAACUUAUUCUGUAUCCAAUUGAUUGCUGCAUACGAGAUUAGGUAAUUGUUAUGGCGGUAUUUGGAAUUGAAUGCGUAUUUGAGUUUUCAAAUUGCAAUCUUUGUGGUUUUGUAAUGCAACAUUGAUCUAAAUCUGUGUUUGGAUGUGAAAGAAGCUGUGUUUUGGCUUCGGAAUCGAUAUGGAUGUUCAUAACUCUGUUAGAAGCUAAUUUGAUAUCAAAUUUGUUUGAUUUCUUCUGUGCUUUUACUUUUAGGUACAUUGGUGUCAGUUAUUAGUUGAGGUUGAAAGUCUUUACUCUGGGCGUAUUAUAUUUUAUUUUAUUUAUACUGGCGUUGUGGUUUAACAUGGAGGGAGCGUUAAAGCUCCACAUCACUGCCAUGUAGGCAACGGGGCAUUAACUAACCCACCGUUUAACUAUCACGUUGUGUGUGUGUGUGUGUGUGUGUGUUUGAGUGGCUCCCACCCGUUUCCAAGGACUGGCGCCCGUUAAUGCCUUAGCGAGCCAUCUUUAACGCCCUGAUGCCAAUAAAUUAGUUGAUUAGCAUAGGUUUCGUUCCUUAUAGUCAUAGCCCAUAGGGUUGAUAUCACUUCUUUUCUGAUUAACAUUAUAUCUGUGUGUCCUGUUCUUGUUCCGUAUAACGUUUUAUCGGAAUCUUUCGACACAACAGUUUUGUGAUAUGACUAUGAACAGAGGCGGUGAUGAGGGUGUGCGGGGAGGACCACCGCACAGGGUCCGUGACUUCGAGGGGCACGUGUUUUAAAAGAAAAUCUGAUAUACAUAUGUUACUUUUUUCUAAAUAGUAUACUCAUAUGUGAUAUGUGUACCAACUACCAUGUUUGAAUGUGGAAGGUAAUAUAUGUUUACCUAAAAGCAUUAGUGCACAUCUUAUGUUAAACUGUUAAAUAUUGUCAUCCAUAUCUAGUUGGUUAAAUGGAUGGGUUAGGUAGCGGGUCAAAUGGGUUAUUUUUUAUAUGGGUCCAAACAAGUCGUCAUUGUCAUUAUAAUAAUAUAUUCUGUUAAAAAUCAAAGCGAUUUGAGAGGUUUCAUGGAUUUGAAUAUACUUUGGACGACUUUAUUACCCAUUCAACUUGUUUCCUUUCUACACAGGCUGUAAAAUUUCACCCAUUUAACACCUAUAUUAUCACAAACACAUUCUGAUUUCACAUUUUUUAUAUUGGUGUAUGUAAUCAUGCAAUACUGAUAUAUAUAUUCUCUAGGGUAAUUUGCAGAAAGGUCAAUGGAAGAGUCAACUGAGAGAUGAGAAAGACUUAAAGCUAUGCGAAUGGAAGCUUCACAGGAGGAUGCAACUUAUAAUAAUGACCAUUCAGCUGUUAGUCUUGCAAACCCGUUACUUGAAUCCACAACUCUGAAACUCAGGCGCAUACUACUUCUCAAAGCUUUGAUUAUUACACCAACCCAAUGGCAGCUUAUUCUCGGAACAAGCACAGGAGCCAGAUGGGAAAAAUGGUUAAGUCAUGAGUCAACAUCAGAUCAAAAACAGGGUACUCUGUUUUGGUCAUCAGAGCAGCCGGCUUCGGCAGAACCCACAUCAGCGCCGCCUUGAAACGACUGCGUUUUAGGGUUAGGUAAUUUUAACAAUUAUUACAAUCCUACCCUCAAAAGGGCUCGUCAACAAUUGUUUGAAAAAAGUGGGAUUUGUAUUGUGGAAGGGGGCAUAAAUGAUGCUGUUUUGCUGAACAAACUCUUUGAGGUAGUACAUAGUAAUAUUGCUGGUUUUGUUAAUAUUCUUGUUGUCUGUAAAAAUGCAAACCCACAGCCUGCAAUUGUUUGGGCCUCUUCUAGUUCUGUCAGAAAAAGACCGAACAGAUUAACCCCACCCGCAAGCCUAUACGCUGCAACGAAAAAAGCGGGUGAAGAAAAAAGGGGCUGCACAGUUAGACACUGCUGAAAAGAGUACAGGAAGUGGUGGGAAGAAAAAAGGGGCUGCACAGUUUAGAAUUUUUAAUUUAGGGAAUGCUUUGCCUGUGCCUGUUUUGGAUCUUGCAAGUAUUUUGGAGACGUUGUUGAAAGUGAAAGCGAAAUGGUGAUGUCCCGUUUACUCGUGCGAAUAUUAGUUUGGCGCAAAGGGAGGUUGGGUAUAAACCAACGACGGAUCUUCAAAUGGGGUUGAAGAAGUUUGUUAGAUGGUAUGAGAAGUAUUAUGGUUCGGGGAUCAAAAGUGAUCAUUGAGGCAAAAAGUGGUAAACUUGUUCUUGAAUUUUUAUUCGUUUUGAUAUACUCAGCAUGAUUCUUUGGUUAAUUUUACACCUUUUGAAAACAACUUAUAUUGUUUUCAAUUGUUGGUAUAUGAUGUUGCAUCAAGUUAGGAGGAAAGAGGGAUCUCAAACGUCAUGGUCUUCAUUUGAGAACUUUGUGUUCUUGUUAACUCGAGCGAAUGUAAUUUUUAUGUAGCAUUAUUAGUGUAGGAUUGUUGACUAACAAAGCAAGUUUAUGUGGUUGGACUUCUAUCGUUUUAUGGUAUUCAAAUAAAUAGAACACAUUAGUUUGAAUGUUUAUGAUGCUUUCUUGUUUAA